rnacentral:rRNA from 1 species
UUUAAUGAGAGUUUGAUCCUGGCUCAGGACGAACGCUGGCGGCGUGCCUAAUACAUGCAAGUAGAACGCUGAGGUUUGGUGUUUACACUAGACUGAUGAGUUGCGAACGGGUGAGUAACGCGUAGGUAACCUGCCUCAUAGCGGGGGAUAACUAUUGGAAACGAUAGCUAAUACCGCAUAAGAGUAAUUAACACAUGUUAGUUAUUUAAAAGGAGCAAUUGCUUCACUGUGAGAUGGACCUGCGUUGUAUUAGCUAGUUGGUGAGGUAAAGGCUCACCAAGGCGACGAUA